AACAAUUAACAUAAGUUAUAUAGAUUAAAAAAUAUGCUAAAAUACUAAUUAUAAGUAGAAAAUGAAAAAGAAAAAAAGAAAAAAGAAUAAUUACAAGAAAAUGAAAAAGAAAAAAAGAAAAUAGAAUAAUUACAAGACAAUGAAAAUGAGACCGUAUGUAUUAAAGGAAACCAACCCAAUCAUUUUUCUAGUGUUACAUUAGCACCAACUUUAUUAUUGUGAGAUCCUCAUAAUCCUAACAAACAUCUCAAUCUCAUCAAAACAAUACGAAAAACCCUAUCAUAAUCAUUGGUGAUGCAAGAAUAAAAUUGAAAAUAAGAGGAAACACAGAUGAAUAGAGUGACAAAAUAAACAAGUUAGAGAUGUGUAACCUUCAAAAGAUUAACCUAUAUCAGAAAUCAAUUGUUCCGUACAUUUGAUAGAUAAGAAAGAAAAUUACUCAUAAAAGAUAGAAAAAAAAGGAAAAUAUGACAAUUUUUCAGCAGUACGUAUUUUUUUACCCUUUGUAUUUUGUUUAUACAAUCAUAAAGUGAUUAUGAACCAGAGAUUUCUAUUAAAUAUUGUAAGCUAAAUAAUUAUAUUAAGUAAAUCCUCAAUUAUAUAAAUCAAUCAAACAUUUAUUGAGUAACAAACCUUGACAUUAACUAGUUUAGAAAGAUAUGUAUUGAACAUCAAAAUUAAUUAAAUAUAUACUUAUAUCCUAAAGAACAUAAAAUGUCAUCUUCUAUAUUCUGAUAAUUAAACGAUUAACAUAAGUUAUAUAGAUUAAAAAAUAUGCUAAAAUACUAAUUAUAAGUAGAAAAUGAAAAAGAAAAAAAGAAAAAAGAAUAAUUACAAGAAAAUGAAAAAGAAAAAAAGAAAAUAGAAUAAUUACAAGACAAUGAAAAUGAGACCGUAUGUAUUAAAGGAAACCAACCCAAUCAUUUUUCUAGUGUUACAUUAGCACCAACUUUAUUAUUGUGAGAUCCUCAUAAUCCUAACAAACAUCUCAAUCUCAUCAAAACAAUACGAAAAACCCUAUCAUAAUCAUUGGUGAUGCAAGAAUAAAAUUGAAAAUAAGAGGAAACACAGAUGAAUAGAGUGACAAAAUAAACAAGUUAGAGAUGUGUAACCUUCAAAAGAUUAACCUAUAUCAGAAAUCAAUUGUUCCGUACAUUUGAUAGAUAAGAAAGAAAAUUACUCAUAAAAGAUAGAAAAAAAAGGAAAAUAUGACAAUUUUUCAGCAGUACGUAUUUUUUUACCCUUUGUAUUUUGUUUAUACAAUCAUAAAGUGAUUAUGAACCAGAGAUUUCUAUUAAAUAUUGUAAGCUAAAUAAUUAUAUUAAGUAAAUCCUCAAUUAUAUAAAUCAAUCAAACAUUUAUUGAGUAACAAACCUUGACAUUAACUAGUUUAGAAAGAUAUGUAUUGAACAUCAAAAUUAAUUAAAUAUAUACUUAUAUCCUGAAGAACAUAAAAUCAUCUUCUAUAUUCUGAUAAAUAAAAUAUUAACAUAAGUUAUAUAGACUAAAAAAUAUGCUAAAAUACGAAUUAUAAGUAGAAAAUGAAAAAUAAAAAAAGAAAAAGAAUAAUUACAAGAAAAUGAAAAGGAAAAAAAGAAAAAUAAAUAAAUACAAGAAAAUGAAAAUGAGACCGUAUGCUAUAAAGGAAACCAACUCAAUCAUUUAUCCAGUGUUACAUUAGCAUCACCUUUAUUAUUGUGAGAUCCUCAUAAUCUUAAAAAAUAUCUCAAUCUGAUCAAAACAAUACGAAAAACCCUAUCAUAAUCAUUCGUGACGCAAGAAUAAAAUUGAAAAUAAGAGGAAACACAGAUGAAUAGGGUGACAAAAUAAAUAAGUUAGAGAUGUGUAACCUUCAAAAUAUCAACCUAUAUACGAAAUCACUUGAUCUGUACAUUUGAUAGAUAAAAAAGAAAAUGACUCAUAAAAGAUAGAAAAAAAAAGGGAAAUAUGACAAUUUUUCAGCAGUACGUAUUUUUUUACCCUUUGUAUUUUUUUAUACAAUCAUAAAGUGAUCAUGAACAAGGGAUUUCUAUGAAAUAAUGUAAGCUAAAUAUUUCUAUUAAGUACAUCCUCAAUUAUAUAAAUCAAUAAAACAUGUAAUGAUUAACAAACGUUGACAUUAAAUAGUUUAGGAAGAUAUGUAUUGAACAUCAAAAUUAAUUAAAUAUAUACUUAUAUCCUAAAGAACAUACAAUGUCAUCUUCUAUAUUCUGAUAAUUAAACAAUUAACAUAAGUUAUACAGAUUAAAAAAUAUGCUAAAAUACUAAUUAUAAGUAGAAAAUGAAAAAGAAAAAAAGAAAACAGAAUAAUUAUAAGAAAAUGAAAAUGAGAUCGUGUGGUAUAAAGGAAACCAACUCAAUCAUUUUUCCAGUGUUACAUUAGCAUCACCUUUAUUAUUGUGAGAUCCUCAUAAUCCUAACAAACAUCUCAAUCUCAUCAAAACAAUACAAAAAACCCGAUCAUAAUCAUUGGUGAGGCAAGAAUAAAAUUGAAAAUAAGAGGAAACACAGAUGAAUAGAGUGACAAAAUAAACAAGUUAGAGAUGUGUAACCUUCAAAAGAUCAACCUAUAUCAGAAAUCACUUGAUCUGUACAUUUGAUAGAUAAGAAAGAAAAUGACUCAUAAAAGAAAGAAAAAAAAGGAAAAUAUGACAAUUUAUCAAGUGUACGUAUUUUUUUACCCUUUGUAUUUUGUUUAUACAAUCAUAAAGUGAUCAUGAACAAGAGAUUUCUAUUAAAUAGUGUAAGCUAAAUAUUUCUAUUAAGUACAUCCUCACUUAUAUAAAUCAAUCGAACAUGUAAUGAUUAACAAACCUUGACAUUAAAUAGUUUAGAAAGAUAUGUAUUGAACAUCAAAAUUAAUUAAAUAUAUACUUAUAUCCUAAAGAACAUACAAUGUCAUCUUCUAUAUUCUGAUAAUUAAACAAUUAACAUAAGUUAUACAGAUUAAAAAAUAUGCUAAAAUACUAAUUAUAAGUAGAAAAUGAAAAAGAAAAAAAGAAAACAGAAUAAUUAUAAGAAAAUGAAAAUGAGAUCGUGUGGUAUAAAGGAAACCAACUCAAUCAUUUUUCCAGUGUUACAUUAGCAUCACCUUUAUUAUUGUGAGAUCCUCAUAAUCCUAACAAACAUCUCAAUCUCAUCAAAACAAUACAAAAAACCCGAUCAUAAUCAUUGGUGAGGCAAGAAUAAAAUUGAAAAUAAGAGGAAACACAGAUGAAUAGAGUGACAAAAUAAACAAGUUAGAGAUGUGUAACCUUCAAAAGAUCAACCUAUAUCAGAAAUCACUUGAUCUGUACAUUUGAUAGAUAAGAAAGAAAAUGACUCAUAAAAGAAAGAAAAAAAAGGAAAAUAUGACAAUUUAUCAAGUGUACGUAUUUUUUUACCCUUUGUAUUUUGUUUAUACAAUCAUAAAGUGAUCAUGAACAAGAGAUUUCUAUUAAAUAGUGUAAGCUAAAUAUUUCUAUUAAGUACAUCCUCACUUAUAUAAAUCAAUCGAACAUGUAAUGAUUAACAAACCUUGACAUUAAAUAGUUUAGAAAGAUAUGUAUUGAACAUCAAAAUUAAUUAAAUAUAUACUUAUAUCCUAAAGAACAUACAAUGUCAUCUUCUAUAUUCUGAUAAUUAAACAAUUAACAUAAGUUAUACAGAUUAAAAAAUAUGCUAAAAUACUAAUUAUAAGUAGAAAAUGAAAAAGAAAAAAAGAAAACAGAAUAAUUAUAAGAAAAUGAAAAUGAGAUCGUGUGGUAUAAAGGAAACCAACUCAAUCAUUUUUCCAGUGUUACAUUAGCAUCACCUUUAUUAUUGUGAGAUCCUCAUAAUCCUAACAAACAUCUCAAUCUCAUCAAAACAAUACAAAAAACCCGAUCAUAAUCAUUGGUGAGGCAAGAAUAAAAUUGAAAAUAAGAGGAAACACAGAUGAAUAGAGUGACAAAAUAAACAAGUUAGAGAUGUGUAACCUUCAAAAGAUCAACCUAUAUCAGAAAUCACUUGAUCUGUACAUUUGAUAGAUAAGAAAGAAAAUGACUCAUAAAAGAAAGAAAAAAAAGGAAAAUAUGACAAUUUAUCAAGUGUACGUAUUUUUUUACCCUUUGUAUUUUGUUUAUACAAUCAUAAAGUGAUCAUGAACAAGAGAUUUCUAUUAAAUAGUGUAAGCUAAAUAUUUCUAUUAAGUACAUCCUCACUUAUAUAAAUCAAUCGAACAUGUAAUGAUUAACAAACCUUGACAUUAAAUAGUUUAGAAAGAUAUGUAUUGAACAUCAAAAUUAAUUAAAUAUAUACUUAUAUCCUAAAGAACAUACAAUGUCAUCUUCUAUAUUCUGAUAAUUAAACAAUUAACAUAAGUUAUACAGAUUAAAAAAUAUGCUAAAAUACUAAUUAUAAGUAGAAAAUGAAAAAGAAAAAAAGAAAACAGAAUAAUUAUAAGAAAAUGAAAAUGAGAUCGUGUGGUAUAAAGGAAACCAACUCAAUCAUUUUUCCAGUGUUACAUUAGCAUCACCUUUAUUAUUGUGAGAUCCUCAUAAUCCUAACAAACAUCUCAAUCUCAUCAAAACAAUACAAAAAACCCGAUCAUAAUCAUUGGUGAGGCAAGAAUAAAAUUGAAAAUAAGAGGAAACACAGAUGAAUAGAGUGACAAAAUAAACAAGUUAGAGAUGUGUAACCUUCAAAAGAUCAACCUAUAUCAGAAAUCACUUGAUCUGUACAUUUGAUAGAUAAGAAAGAAAAUGACUCAUAAAAGAAAGAAAAAAAAGGAAAAUAUGACAAUUUAUCAAGUGUACGUAUUUUUUUACCCUUUGUAUUUUGUUUAUACAAUCAUAAAGUGAUCAUGAACAAGAGAUUUCUAUUAAAUAGUGUAAGCUAAAUAUUUCUAUUAAGUACAUCCUCACUUAUAUAAAUCAAUCGAACAUGUAAUGAUUAACAAACCUUGACAUUAAAUAGUUUAGAAAGAUAUGUAUUGAACAUCAAAAUUAAUUAAAUAUAUACUUAUAUCCUAAAGAACAUACAAUGUCAUCUUCUAUAUUCUGAUAAUUAAACAAUUAACAUAAGUUAUACAGAUUAAAAAAUAUGCUAAAAUACUAAUUAUAAGUAGAAAAUGAAAAAGAAAAAAAGAAAACAGAAUAAUUAUAAGAAAAUGAAAAUGAGACCGUAUGGUAUAAAGGAAACCAACUCAAUCAUUUUUCCAGUGUUACAUUAGCAUCACCUUUAUUAUUGUGAGAUCCUCAUAAUCCUAACAAACAUCUCAAUCUUAUCAAAACAAUACGAAAAACCCUAUCAUAAUCAUUGGUGACGCAAGAAUAAAAUUGAAAAUAAGACGAAACACAGAUGAAUAGAGUGACAAAAUAAACAAGUUAGAGAUGUGUAACCUUCAAAAGAUCAACCUAUAUCAGAAAUCACUUGAUCUGUACAUUUGAUAGAUAAAAUAGAAAAUGACUCAUAAAAGAUAGAAAAAAAGUAAAAUAUGACAAUUUUUCAGCAGUACGAAUUUUUUAUCCUUUGUAUUUUUUUUAUACAAUCAUAAAGUGAUCAUGAACAAGAGAUUUCUAUUAAAUAAUGUAAGCUAAAUAUUUCUAUUAAGUACAUCCUCACUUAUAUAAAUCAAUAAAACAUGUAAUGAUUAAUAAACCUUGACAUUAAAUAGUUUAGAAAGAUAUGUAUUGAACAUCAAAAUUAAUUAAAUAUAUACUUAUAUCCUAAAGAACAUACAAUGUCAUCUUCUAUAUUCUGAUAAUUAAACAAUUAACAUAAUUUAUACAGAUUAAAAAAUAUGCUAAAAUAAUAAUUAUAAGUAGAAAAUGAAAAAGAAAAAAAGAAAACAGAAUAAUUAUAAGAAAAUGAAAAUGAGAUCGUGUGGUAUAAAGGAAACCAACUCAAUCAUUUUUCCAGUGUUACAUUAGCAUCACCUUUAUUAUUGUGAGAUCCUCAUAAUCCUAACAAACAUCUCAAUCUCAUCAAAACAAUACAAAAAACCCGAUCAUAAUCAUUGGUGAGGCAAGAAUAAAAUUGAAAAUAAGAGGAAACACAGAUGAAUAGAGUGACAAAAUAAACAAGUUAGAGAUGAGUAACCUUCAAAAGAUCAACCUAUAUCAGAAAUCACUUGAUCUGUACAUUAGAUAGAUAAGAAAGAAAAUGACUCAUAAAAGAUAGAAAAAAAGGAAAAUAUGACAAUUUUUCAGCAGUACGUAUUUUUUACCCUUACUAUUUUGUUUAUACAAUCAUAAAGUGAUUAUGAACCAGAGAUUUCUAUUAAAUAAUGAUAACUAAAUAUUUAUAUUAAGUACAUCCUCAAUUAUAUCAAUCAAUCAAACAUGUAAUGAUUAACAUACCUUGACAUUAAAUAGUUUAGAAAGAUAUUUAUUGAACAUCAAAAUUAAUUAAAUAUAUACUUAUAUCCUAAAGAACAUACAAUGUCAUCUUCUAUAUUCUAUUAAUUAAACAAUUAACAUAAGUUAUACAGAUUAAAAUAUACGCUAAAAUACUAAUUAUAAAUAGAAAAUGAAAAAGAAAAAAGAAAACAGAAUAAUUAUAAGAAAAUGAAAAUGAUAUCGUGUGGUAUAAAGGAAACCAACUAAAUCAUUUUUCCAGUGUUACAUUAGCAUCACCUUUAUUAUUGUGAGAUCCUCAUAAUCCUAACAAACAUCUCAAUCUCAUCAAAACAAUACAAAAAACCCGAUCAUAAUCAUUGGCGAGGCAAGAAUAAAAUUGAAAAUUAGAGGAAACACAGAUGAAUAGAGUGACAAAAUAAACAAGUUAGAGAUGUGUAACCUUCAAAAGAUCAACCUAUAUCAGAAAUCACUUGAUCUGUACUUUUGAUAGAUAAGAAAAAAACUGACUCAUAAAAGAAAGAAAAAAAAGGAAAAUAUGACAAUUUAUCAAGUGUACGUAUUGUUUUUACCCUUUGUAUUUUGUUUAUACAAUCAUAAAGUGAUUAUGAACAAGAGAUUUCUAUUAAAUAGUGUAAGCUAAAUAUUUCUAUUAAGUACAUCCUCCCUUAUAUAAAUCAAUCGAACAUGUAAUGAUUAACAAACCUUGACAUUAAAUAGUUUAGAAAGAUAUGUAUUGAACAUCAAAAUUAAUUAAAUAUAUACUUAUAUCCUAAAGAACAUACAAUGUCAUCUUCUAUAUUCUGAUAAUUAAACAAUUAACAUAAGUUAUACAGAUUAAAAAAUAUGCUAAAAUACUAAUUAUAAGUAGAAAAUGAAAAAGAAAAAAAGAAAACAGAAUAAUUAUAAGAAAAUGAAAAUGAGAUCGUGUGGUAUAAAGGAAACCAACUCAAUCAUUUUUCCAGUGUUACAUUAGCAUCACCUUUAUUAUUGUGAGAUCCUCAUAAUCCUAACAAACAUCUCAAUCUCAUCAAAACAAUACAAAAAACCCGAUCAUAAUCAUUGGUGAGGCAAGAAUAAAAUUGAAAAUAAGAGGAAACACAGAUGAAUAGAGUGACAAAAUAAACAAGUUAGAGAUGUGUAACCUUCAAAAGAUCAACCUAUAUCAGAAAUCACUUGAUCUGUACAUUUGAUAGAUAAGAAAGAAAAUGACUCAUAAAAGAAAGAAAAAAAAGGAAAAUAUGACAAUUUAUCAAGUGUACGUAUUUUUUUACCCUUUGUAUUUUGUUUAUACAAUCAUAAAGUGAUCAUGAACAAGAGAUUUCUAUUAAAUAGUGUAAGCUAAAUAUUUCUAUUAAGUACAUCCUCACUUAUAUAAAUCAAUCGAACAUGUAAUGAUUAACAAACCUUGACAUUAAAUAGUUUAGAAAGAUAUGUAUUGAACAUCAAAAUUAAUUAAAUAUAUACUUAUAUCCUAAAGAACAUACAAUGUCAUCUUCUAUAUUCUGAUAAUUAAACAAUUAACAUAAGUUAUACAGAUUAAAAAAUAUGCUAAAAUACUAAUUAUAAGUAGAAAAUGAAAAAGAAAAAAAGAAAACAGAAUAAUUAUAAGAAAAUGAAAAUGAGAUCGUGUGGUAUAAAGGAAACCAACUCAAUCAUUUUUCCAGUGUUACAUUAGCAUCACCUUUAUUAUUGUGAGAUCCUCAUAAUCCUAACAAACAUCUCAAUCUCAUCAAAACAAUACAAAAAACCCGAUCAUAAUCAUUGGUGAGGCAAGAAUAAAAUUGAAAAUAAGAGGAAACACAGAUGAAUAGAGUGACAAAAUAAACAAGUUAGAGAUGUGUAACCUUCAAAAGAUCAACCUAUAUCAGAAAUCACUUGAUCUGUACAUUUGAUAGAUAAGAAAGAAAAUGACUCAUAAAAGAAAGAAAAAAAAGGAAAAUAUGACAAUUUAUCAAGUGUACGUAUUUUUUUACCCUUUGUAUUUUGUUUAUACAAUCAUAAAGUGAUCAUGAACAAGAGAUUUCUAUUAAAUAGUGUAAGCUAAAUAUUUCUAUUAAGUACAUCCUCACUUAUAUAAAUCAAUCGAACAUGUAAUGAUUAACAAACCUUGACAUUAAAUAGUUUAGAAAGAUAUGUAUUGAACAUCAAAAUUAAUUAAAUAUAUACUUAUAUCCUAAAGAACAUACAAUGUCAUCUUCUAUAUUCUGAUAAUUAAACAAUUAACAUAAGUUAUACAGAUUAAAAAAUAUGCUAAAAUACUAAUUAUAAGUAGAAAAUGAAAAAGAAAAAAAGAAAACAGAAUAAUUAUAAGAAAAUGAAAAUGAGACCGUAUGGUAUAAAGGAAACCAACUCAAUCAUUUUUCCAGUGUUACAUUAGCAUCACCUUUAUUAUUGUGAGAUCCUCAUAAUCCUAACAAACAUCUCAAUCUUAUCAAAACAAUACGAAAAACCCUAUCAUAAUCAUUGGUGACGCAAGAAUAAAAUUGAAAAUAAGACGAAACACAGAUGAAUAGAGUGACAAAAUAAACAAGUUAGAGAUGUGUAACCUCCAAAAGAUCAACCUAUAUCAGAAAUCACUUGAUCUGUACAUUUGAUAGAUAAGAAAGAAAAUGACUCAUCAAAAGAUAGAAAAAAAAGGAAAAUAUGACAAUUUUUCAGCAGUACGUAUUUUUUUACCCUUUGUAUUUUGUUUUUACAAUCAUAAAGUGAUUAUGAACCAAAAAUUUCUAUUAAAUAGUGUAAGCUAAAUAUUUCUAUUAAGUACAUCCUCACUUAUAUAAAUCAAUCAAACAUGUAAUGAUUAACAAACCUAGACAUUAAAUAGUUUAGAAAGAUAUGUAUUGAACAUCAAAAUUAACUAAAUAUAUACUUAUAUCCUUAAGAACAUAAAAUGUCAUCUUUUAUAUUCUGUUAAUUAAACAAUUAACAUAAGUUUGACAGAUUAAAAAAUAUGCUCAAAUACUAAUUAUAAGUAGAAAAUGAAAAAGAAAAAAAGAAAAAAGAAUAAUUACAAGAAAAUGAAAAUGAGACCGUAUGCUAUAAAGGAAACCAACUUAAUCAUUUUUCCAGUGUUACAUUAGCAUCACCUUUAUUAUUGUGAGAUCCUCAUAAUCCUAACAAACAUCUCAAUCUCAUCAAAACAAUACAAAAAACCCGAUCAUAAUCAUUGGUGAGGCAAGAAUAAAAUUGAAAAUAAGAGGAAACACAGAUGAAUAGAGUGACAAAAUAAACAAGUUAGAGAUGUGUAACCUUCAAAAGAUCAACCUAUAUCAGAAAUCACUUGAUUUGUACAUUUGAUAGAUAAGAAAGAAAAUUACUCAUAAAAGAUAGAAAAAAAAGGAAAAUAUGACAAUUUUUCAG
rnacentral:lncRNA from 1 species